rnacentral:misc_RNA from 1 species
GGCUAUUCAUGCUAGAAGCCACUGGAAUGACAAAGCACAGUGUUGCAGGCCUCAAUAGUUAGUUGAGCACAGAAUAUCAACAUAUUCUACGUGCUUGAUGCUCCAAACAAUCUAACAGCAUGAUAACCACCAAACACAUAGUCCGUUUAGUCAUCUUACAAAUAAUAUCUUAAGGAGACUCAAUCACUUUCUUUAUGCAUAUAUUGCACAGAUAUGAACAAUGAGGCUCCAUAAUGCGGAGGUGACAUGAAAUAUAAAUUGCAUU